ACACCCCUCGUUUGGGGCACCUGUGUGUAAUUUGCUGGGAGGCUUUUAAGACCAGCGUUCUCAAACAUUCCUCGCCGGAACGUCAGCUAACCCACCUUCACAGUGGAUUGGAUCUUGCUGCCUGUAACUACUCAACUCUCCGUCGCUGGCCUGCUUACUAUUCUCGGCGCUAUUCACCUGCCUGCCUCCCUGCCCAACACUUCACAGUGAGUGUACACGAGCUGGUUUAGCCUCACUCGGACCUCUAACCUCACCGCCAACCCAGACAAUGACUCAGAGAAACCCUGUACCUUGCAUGCCUGCUCCGGAAAAUCCCAGAUAACGAGCCCAGCCCGAUUAAGAGACUAUUUCCUUUGGACUUUGCUGCUGCACACGCAGUGUGAUUCUGGUUUACUGCUUAGCAAUUAUUUUGAAGAUGGUCAAACCAAGACCUGUAUACUUUCUUAGCAUUUCUGGUAACAGCUUUUUCUGCUAGCUUUUGCUAUCACAGUGUGUUUGUUGCUACUGAUUCUUAGGACCGUAAUCAGAAACUGUGUUAGUAGGUAGCCAAUGUUCAGAGGUCUGUUUUCCCUCUCACCUUCAGUUCACUUAUUGCAUUUUUGUUUCUUAUCCUCCUUGAUGGUGUGCCAGUUUUGAGUGUCAAUAAAUUAUACAUUUCAC